AUUGAAUAAGCUACAUUGUUUUCUCAUGUCAUGCUCCAUUUUCUGGCAGCUCUUCCUAUCUCUUGGAAUCCCUUCCUCUUGCAAAUAGAUUAAGUGGAUCUGCCCAAUUGCCCCUACACGUCCAGACGUCUACUGACCCUACUUGGGGGAUUUCCUUGCACUGCAUGUGCAAACAGUAAACAAGCGGUGUGAAAAUUUCAUCCAUACUGGUCAUCAAAAACCGACAUUCACUAGCAGGUAAAAUUCCGUAAAUAUUGUAUCGCAAUGGACAAAAGUUGGAUGGAGAAGCGGAGGGGUACAAGGGAAUAUUUUGAAGGUGUAAACCAAUUCGUGGAAUUUGCUGCUCCAUCCGCGCGCAAUGGGAACAUCUUAUGUCCUUGUGUGAAAUGUGUGAAUUUGCUUAUACAACCGCUAAAUGUGGUACGUGAGCACUGUUGGGCUUCGGGGAUGCUUAAAAAUUACAAAGUUUGGAAAUUUCAUGGUG